UAAAAAAGAGAAAAGAAAGAACAAAAGGGAGGACCUUCUCAUCUUUUUUUUUUUUCCCUUUUCUCUUUCAAAACCAACCAAACCCAUCUCUUUCCCCUUCCCUUCCUUC
rnacentral:ribozyme from 1 species